rnacentral:rRNA from 1 species
GACGAACGCUGGCGGCGUGCCUAAUACAUGCAAGUCGAGCGGACGGAUGGGAGCUUGCUCCCAGACCGUCAGCGGCGGACGGGUGAGUAACACGUGGGCAACCUGCCUGUAAGACUGGGAUAACUCCGGGAAACCGGGGCUAAUACCGGAUAACUCUUUCCCUCACAUGAGGGAAAGCUGAAAGAUGGCAUCUCGCUAUCACUUACAGAUGGGCCCGCGGCGCAUUAGCUAGUUGGUGAGGUAACGGCUCACCAAGGCGACGAUGCGUAGCCGACCUGAGAGGGGGAUCGGCCACACUGGGACUGAGCCGCGGCCCAGACUCCUACGGGAGGCAGCAGUAGGGAAUCUUACGCAAUAGACGGAAGUCUGACGGAGCAACGCCGCGUGAGUGAUGAAGGUUUUCGGAUCGUAAAACUCUCUUGUCAGGGAAGAACAAGUACCGGAGUAACUGCCGGUACCUUGACGGUACCUGACCAGAAAGCCACGGCUAACUACGUG